AUUGAACGCUGGCGGCAUGCCUUACACAUGCAAGUCGAACGGCAGCACGGGAGCAAUCCUGGUGGCGAGUGGCGAACGGGUGAGUAAUGUAUCGGAACGUGCCUUGUCGUGGGGGAUAACGUAGCGAAAGCUACGCUAAUACCGCAUACCAUCUAAGGAUGAAAGCGGGGGAUCGCAAGACCUCGCGCGACAAGAGUGGCCGAUAUCAGAUUAGGUUGUUGGUGGGGUAAAGGCCUACCAAGCCGACGAUCUGUAGCUGGUCUGAGAGGACGACCAGCCACACUGGGACUGAGACACGGCCCAGACUCCUACGGGAGGCAGCAGUGGGGAAUAUUGGACAAUGGGCGCAAGCCUGAUCCAGCAAUGCCGCGUGUGUGAAGAAGGCCUGCGGGUUGUAAAGCACUUUCAGUGGGAAGAACGGAUACGGGCCAAUACCCCGCAUCACUGACGUUACCCACACGAAGAAGCACCGGCU
rnacentral:rRNA from 1 species